rnacentral:lncRNA from 1 species
AAUUCCUCUAUAACCUCUUCUUUUAUCUACUUAGGAAAUGUUAAAUCAUUAGCUACACCAUCAUUGUUUGAAACACAUGUCAUUGCCUUCUCAUCAUCAUUGUCGCUAAUGAGAACAACAAUUGAUCAAAGACACACCCUGUCAGGUAUUGUAUCCAAGUUACUCUCUGUAUCUAAGUUCAUCCCGAGUAAUAGUACCACGAGGAUAAUCACCAAAGCCACCAGACAACUUUAUGAUGCCAAUGAAGUAAUAUGAGCUAUUCAAUGAGACUCGUAUUGUAAAGAAGAAGAAAGAGACUGAUCUAGAAAGGUGGGUCGAGGGUCGAGCCUCGACUAUACAUGUAAGUUUUUUACUUUUCAUUAAGUAUUUUGAUUUACUUUUAUAUAAAUUUUGAAAUACUAAUUCAAUAUAAUUUUUCUUAUAGGUUCGCUUUACAGCUGAUGUGGGGGAAUACAUACGCAGUCAGCCACCUAAUGAGUCGGGCGAGGGUAUCUAACUUUGGGAUGAGGAUGCUGAUAGAACACUCCUUGAGUACUUUAUAUACUUUGAACUAGACAAUAGAACCAGUUUUCGAAUGGGCUUGUAAUAAGCGUUAACUUAGUUUUGUUAGCUUAAUGUGUUAGUUCUAUUGAACUUUAUAUUUUGUUGUUUUUUAUUGUUGUUAUUGUUGUUGUUGUUGUUG